GUAAAUGCUAUGAUGAGAAGAGUAGCAAGGUUGAGAGUGCAAAAGAGAGCUGGAAAAAGGUGAAAGCCAGAGACUUGAGAUUUUGUGAAUAUGGCCUUUGAGCAGAUUUUUUGAGGAAUAUUAUUCUAAGGAAAGUACGGUAGCAACCGUUAUAUUGCUAAGUAAUUUUUUUAUUCUACUUAUUAAGGUAUCUAUGGUGACAUAGGUAUAAAUUAGAGUGGUAACGCGUGAAUAACGUCUCUAUG
rnacentral:ncRNA from 1 species